rnacentral:lncRNA from 1 species
AUGUUUUUUUUUUUUUUUUUUUUUUCAAGAUUAUUUCUUGAGGACUUUGUGAUAAACUGUGCUAAGAAGAUCCCUCGUGGGGAAGACGUGGUUUGGCUGAGAGAAAAGGCAGCCCUUCGAAGCUUCGCUAUCAACAUUUGGAGCAGCAAGAUUUUUUCCUCCGAGCGCUUAACGUGUGACAAACCCCCAGCUGGCAGUCUGGAUGGUGCAGAGCACCAUGAUGGAAGGGAGAAGACACACAUUAAUUCGCUACAAGUAUGGGCUCGUGGGACCCAAGUGACACAGCCUUCUUUUUACCUGCCUCUUUGUCUCUCACCCUCACGAAACUGAAUAGAAGGGAAGGCAGUGAGAUUUUUGGGUCCACCCUCAGCAGCCACUUAGUCAUGGUUUCUGAGCCAAACCCGUGAGAUGUGAUCUCAGGAGGGUGUGGGGUGAGGUGAAAAGUCUGGUGAGGAGAACCCUCCUGACACCCAAGGAGCAUCUCCUUGGAGCUAUUGUAGGUAGGAAAACUCAGCAGAGCUGACUCCACUGUGUAAACAUGCUUCCUUGUGGGAUUUGCAGGGGCUCUAGACCCAAAUGACACCACCACAAGGCUAUUUCUUCUUAUAGUGUUUUGGCUUUUCCUGACUGGAAUACAUCACAGAAAAGAGGGGGAAAAAAAAAAGAAAUAAAGAAAUAAAAGAAAAAGCCA